GGUCAGGUCAAAUUAAGUCAGGUCAGAUUAGGUCAGGUCAGGUUAGGUUAGGCUAGGUUAGGUUACGUCAGAUCAGGUCAGAUUAAGUCAGGUCAGGUUAGGUUAGAUCAGGUCAGAUUAAGUCAGGUCAGGUUAGGUCAAAUUAUGAGGGACAAGGUUAGGAUAGAUCAGGUCAAGCUAGGUUAGGUUUGGCUAAUUUAGGUUAGGUCAAGUUAGGCUAGGUCAGGUUAGGUUAGGUGAGGUUAGGUUACCCAUAUAAGGCCUGGUCCCAGACAUGGAGGUUGCCAGCUGGCCUGACUUCACAACGGUGGCGAUGUUGAAGUCUGUGAGGUGCACGUGACCUGGGGGAGAGAGAGAGAGAGAGAGAGAGAGAGAGAGAGAGAGAGAGAGAGAGAGAGAGAGAGAGAGAGAGAGAGAGAGAGAGAGAGAGAGAGAGAGAGAGAGAGAGAGAGUGACAUAGUUACAUAUUGAAAGAGGUCACAACAGAGCAAGGUGACCUGACCUAGGACUACUAAGGUGACAGUGAAAGAAAGGGCUAGCAAAGCAGAAGGCUCCCUCCCCACCCUCCACCCUCCACCCUCCACCGCCCCCUCCCCAGCAUGAGCCGUGCAGGAAUCUGGUCUGAAGGAAACAGCUGACAGAUUUACUGAAGGAAAAACCAGAAGGAAAUUUUAGAUGGAGGAAAGGAAACAGAUGAAAUGAGGCGCCCCCAUUGGCUGAAGGCAAGGAGCGUUGAUCUGUGGCAAACACACGCCGGGGGCCGCGGACUGCACGCAAGCUGUUUGUCGAGGCUUCAGUCUAAAGAGAGAGAGAGAGAGAGAGAGAGAGAGAGAGAGAGAGAGAGAGAGAGAGAGAGAGAGAGAGA